rnacentral:rRNA from 1 species
UACGGAGGGAGCUAGCGUUAUUCGGAAUUACUGGGCGUAAAGCGCACGUAGGCGGCUUUGUAAGUAAGAGGUGAAAGCCCGGAGCUCAACUCCGGAACUGCCUUUUAGACUGCAUCGCUUGAAUCCAGGAGAGGUGAGUGGAAUUCCGAGUGUAGAGGUGAAAUUCGUAGAUAUUCGGAAGAACACCAGUGGCGAAGGCGGCUCACUGGACUGGUAUUGACGCUGAGGUGCGAAAGCGUGGGGAGCAAACAGGG